AGUGGCGGGCUCUGGGUGACGGUGGUUCAGCCACCUUUGUCUGUCGACUUCUAGCUGGGCAGCUCCUUCUCUGUGGUCAGGGUAGCCCUGUGGCUGACGCUGCAGUCAUUGGGCUGAAGCUGUCCCCUGAGUCCCCAAAGUUGCCCUGCAUCUGCGCCUCUGGCUAGGCUGCCCCAAACUACCUGGGGUAGUGGGGGGCAGCUGUGGUGGUGACACAGCUACCCCUGCAGAAAACCUGUGGAGCGCCUACCUGGAGAAGGGUGACAUUGUGGAGAAGCAUGGGCUGCCCUCCGCAGAUGCCCCAAGCCUGAAGGAGAGCCUGCCUCUGUACGUGGUCGCCGACAUCGCCACAUCCUUCACCGUGCUGGUCGGCAUCUUCUUCCCUUCUGUAACAGGUGAGCCCUGCCUGCCUACCCACCCAGCCCUGUCCCUGAUCCCGGGGAGCCCCUGAGGGAGUCUCAUCUGUUUUUGGAGGCAUCAUGGCUGGCUCAAACCGCUCUGGGGACCUUCGUGACGCCCAGAAGUCUAUCCCUGUGGGGACCAUUCUGGCCAUCAUUACAACUUCCCUCGUGUACUUCAGCAGUGUGGUUCUCUUUGGCGCCUGCAUUGAGGGUGUGGUUCUCCGGGACAAGUAUGGCGAUGGUGUCAGCAGGAACUUGGUGGUGGGCACACUGGCCUGGCCUUCACCCUGGGUCAUCGUCAUCGGCUCCUUCUUUUCAACGUGUGGCGCUGGCCUCCAGAGCCUCACAGGGGCACCACGCCUAUUGCAGGCCAUUGCCAAGGACAACAUCAUCCCCUUCCUCCGGGUGUUUGGCCACGGGAAGGUGAAUGGUGAACCCACAUGGGCACUCCUCCUGACGGCACUCAUCGCCGAGCUGGGCAUCCUCAUCGCCUCCCUCGACAUGGUGGCCCCCAUCUUAUCCAUG
rnacentral:sRNA from 1 species